AAUAUUCAUUUCCACGCUCAUCUUCAACGAUCUAGCAAACCUGGUUGUAAAACAAACUCCACCUUAAUCACAG